UCUUCUGAAAAUUUGAGAUCUAAAUUCUUAAGACCCUCUGAUGAAGAUGAACUGUCAUUUCACAAGAGAAGAAAUUUUCAGUCAUCUACUUCACAUUCUUCAUUAGUGGCUCAGGCUUCUUUGCAUUGUGAUUUUCGAAAACCCACAGACUACAGUGAAGAAAGUUCAACAUCCUGGAGUCGAUCUGAUGGGCGAGAAGACAGGAAACCUUCAGAUCAAAAGUCAUUGGAAACCUGGAGCUGCAGUACCAAUGAGGACUCUAUAAGAGAUAGAAGAGAACAAAAAAGAUCAGGGGUAGAGCAUGAAGAUGAACAAGAAGUAAUCCUUACUCGAACAGAUGAGUCUGGAAGAGUGUGGCCUGUGAGCAGCCCUAGAGAAACCCUGGAUAUGAAAGAAGAAAGAAGGAA
rnacentral:lncRNA from 1 species